GAAAGUAAGCAAGGGCAGACGGUGGAUGCCUUGGCUCUCGGAGGCGAUGAAGGACGUGAUAAGCUGCGAAAAGCUCGGGGGAGGCGCAAAUAGCCCUUGAUCCCGGGAUAUCCGAAUGGGGCAACCCGGCAGGCUGAAGGCCUGCCAUCCCGUAAGGGAGGCGAACGUGGGGAACUGAAACAUCUAAGUACCCAUAGGAGGAGAAAAUAAACAAUGAUUCCGUAAGUAGUGGCGAGCGAACACGGAAGAGCCCAAACCCGUGCCGUCUAGGCGACACGGGGGUUGUAGGACCACGACGUGGCAAGAUAGAGUCAAGUGGAACGCCUUGGAAAAGGCGACCGUAGAGGGUGAUAGUCCCGUACACGACUGACGAUUGAAGCCUAGUGGCAUCCUGAGUAGCGCGGGGCACGAGAAAUCUUGCGUGAAACUGCGGGGCCCAUCCCGUAAGGCUAAAUACUCCCGAGAGACCGAUAGCGAACCAGUACCGUGAGGGAAAGGUGAAAAGAACCCCGAGCAGGGGAGUGAAAUAGACCCUGAACCCGUCUGCCUACAAGCGGUCGGAGCAUCGUCAAGAUGUGACGGCGUGCCUUUUGCAUAAUGAACCUACGAGUUACCUUCCCCGGCAAGGUUAAGUACCUAAGGUACGGAGCCGAAGCGAAAGCGAGUCUGAAUAGGGCGGCCAGUCGGGGGGGGUAGACGCGAAACCGAGUGAUCUACCCUUGGCCAGGUUGAAGGUUGGGUAACACCAACUGGAGGACCGGAUGGGUAAGCGUUGAAAAGCUUUCCAAUGAGCUGAGGGUAGGGGUGAAAGGCUAAUCAAACUCGGAGAUAGCUCGUACUCCCCGAAAUGCAUUUAGGUGCAGCCUCUUUAUAGUAUAUCGUGAGGUAGAGCGACUGAUUGGAUGCGAGGGCUUCACCGCCUAUCAAGUCCAGAUAAACUCCGAAUGCGCGAUAUAUAUUUAAAGGGAGUGAGGGCGCGGGUGCUAAGGUCCGUGUCCGAGAGGAGAAGAAUCCAGACCACCGGCUAAGGCCCCCAAAUGAUCGUUGAGUUGAACUAACGAGGUCGGAUCGCAGAGACAGCUAGGAUGUUGGCUUGGAAGCAGCCAUUCAUUUAAAGAGUGCGUAACAGCUCACUAGUCGAGCGAUCUGGCGUGGAUAAUAAUCGGGCAUAAACGAUCUGCCGAAGCCGUGGAUGUCGUAAGACAUGGUAGGGGAGCAUUCCAUGCGGCGUCGAAGAUGAGGGAUGACCCUUGUUGGAGCGCAUGGAAAAGCAAAUGUAGGUAUGAGUAACGAUAAGGGGGGCGAGAAACCCCCCCGCCGAAAGACCAAGGUUUCCUGAUCAACGCUAAUCGGAUCAGGGUGAGUCGGGACCUAAGGCAAAGCCGAACGGCGACGCCGAUGGAAGAAUGGGUUAAUAUUCCCAUACUGCCUCAUGGAGUGACGUGGAGACGGAGAAGUGACAGUCCUGCCGGCUGACGGAAUAGCCGGUUGAAGGGUGUAGAUAUUGAUUCCCGUAGGCAAAUCCGCGGGGAGAGUCGAACCUGAGAGUAUACCGAGUACUUGUACGAGGUAAUAUGGACGUAACCAUGCUCCCGAGAAAAUCCGCUAAACUUAUCCAUGCGGCACCCGUACCGUAAACGGACACACGUGGUCGGGUUGAGAAUACUGAGGCGCUCGAGUGACUCACGGUUAAGGAACUAGGCAAAUUGACCCUGUAACUUCGGGAUAAAGGGUCCUCGUCGUAAGGCGAGGCGCAGAGAAUAGGUCCAGGCAACUGUUUAACAAAAACACAUGGCUGUGCUAAAUGGAAACAUGACGUAUACAGCCUGACACCUGCCCGGUGCUGGAAGGUUAAGAGGAGAUGUCAUCGCAAGAGAAGCGUUGAAUUGAAGCCCCAGUAAACGGCGGCCGUAACUAUAACGGUCCUAAGGUAGCGAAAUUCCUUGUC
rnacentral:rRNA from 1 species